rnacentral:tRNA from 2 species
GCCGGUGUAGCUCAAUUGGCAGAGCAGCGGUUUUGUAAACCGCCGGUUGUGGGUUCGAGUCCCACCAUCGGCU